UAAAUCAUGAUUUGUUCAUAAAACAAACAUUUUUUUAUCACUCAACAAUAUUAUAUCUCAUGGGACAUGCUCCCCUAUCUUUCAUGAAAAGAUUACAAAAAUAUUAAAUGGAAUCUUUUUAUAUAACAAAAAUGAAAUGACCAAAAUUAUUUUUGUAUGUUGGUGUUACUAAAGUCGAGUGCUCAAUUGAGUGAGCAAAAGAGACAAAUAUGAUAUACCAAUGUAUUUAAGAGACAAUUUUUAUGAAGAGUUUCUUACAACUCCAUAUGUAUUAAAAUUAUAUAAGGGACGUAAAACUUUAUAAAUAGAUCAUACAUUAUCUAUUUGUUACAUACAAAAAAGUAAAAGUAUGAUGAAAUUUAUAUGUUGUGUUUAUGCUAUAACUCUUCUUGUUUCCAUAGUACUUAUUGUUGAUGCUGAUUUUUGUGAGGAACACCAUGAUUGCAUUUACAAGGAGUGUUUUUAUCGUUUUGCUGAGUGCAUUUUUAACAAGUGUCAAUGCUUGUAACCUAUCGCUUAGAAGUGCAUUAUGAACGCAACAAUGUUACUGCAUAAUUAGAAUUUGCUCCUUUAGUAAGUAAAGGAAAUUUGAUUAUUUAAAAUAAUCAUACAAUCUGUCUUUGUAUUUCAUAUAAGAAUUAAUAGUAUGAUAGAGACUUAAAUUUCAAUUAUUAAAAAUAUUUUUAUGGUAAUAUUUUUAUAUAGGCUAAAUUACCUCAUGGGUCCUUUAAGUUAUUUAAUUGUAACAAGUUAGUCCUUUAUGUUUUAAUUGUAACAAGUUAGUCCUUUUUCGCUACAGGUUGGUCAUUUAUGUUAACUAACGUUUCCACCGGUGAUCUUUUUCUCAAAAUCCUUUCCAAAAAAGCUGAAGUAACAUUAAUGAUUUGAAACAUAGCUUACUGUAAUGGACGACCGUGUCAGAAUUCCAACAGCAAACCAUGCUCAGCGCCACUUGUAAGGGAAUAAAGUGUGAAUGACUUAGACUUUGAAGAAAACUAAAAUCUUGUUAGAUGGAAAAUAAUAUAUUUCUUUCUAGAGUUUCAGCUUGUGCCAACCUGCCUACAAAGAAAGUCUAUUUGAAGAGUUACACGAUUUUGGCAAGGUAGAAUUCCCCUUAAUAUCCAGAAGAAGGUGCGCUAGAAGAAUUGGAAAUCAUUUGAAUCUCACAAAGUUUAAAGAUAAGUCAAUCUCUUUCUGUUUUCACUAAUUAAUUAGCUUAUAUUUCUACUAUUUUUAUAUAUAAGAAAUAAAACACCAAUUGUCUUGCCAUCAAAUAAUUAAAAUGAGUUGAAUACUUGUCCAUAUAGUUUCAUUACUGGUAUGAUAUGUCUUCUAGAGUGGCAGAAAAUCCUCUUUUCACUUCAUGUAUUGUGCUUAGUUUAUCAAACUAGUUUGUCAUUUUUGUUUGUAACUUCAUAUAUUAGUUGAUCAAUUAUUAAUGCUUUGGCAUCAGAUUUUGUUUUACUCUCUUACCAAUCAAAAUGCUAAGGACUCCAGUAUUUUUUGCUUUUAAUUUGUCAUUUGCAGAGAAAAACAAUGUAGUUUUUCUGCUAUUGCGAUUCUUUAAGUUAAUGCCUUAUUUUCAUUAUGUCCAAUUAUAUACGUAUAUUUUGGAUUAUAUUAGUAUUAUCAUUUAAAAAAAAAUAACACUAGCAUUCUCUCUAUAGACUUUUAGUUGUCUCUAUAGACUUUUAGUUGUUUGUACGAGAGAAAGUAAGUUCCAUGUGGUUUAUAGGUGUAAGGUCUGAUUAAAUAGUUUCUUGUUUGGGUGGCAGGGUAAAUUGACAUCCUCUGGUUUCUCCUCUGUUGGAGAAAUUUCACCUAUAGUUGCAUGAAGAAUUAUGUGUGAAAUAUGAAUUUAGUGCUCAGGCAUAUGCUAAUGGAUAAUUGAGAAUUAAGAUGAUGUGUGGUUCACUCCUUUAUAUUAAUAAAUAGUUCCAACUUAAUUAUUUUAUUGGAUCUCUUAAUUCAUUACUUUUCUAUUAUCUUUUAUGUUGUAAAUAGAUUGGGGAAACUUUAGAAUCAAUUAUAUGAUUGUAGAAUUAGAAAAUAAUAGUAUGCAAAUAAAAAUGUGGAAAUUGUUGCUUAGUUUUUAUUAUAGCUAUUCAUGCAAUUUUGAUUCUAAAUUUAGGUUGGUUUGCUUUUUUCGCUAAUAUCUCUAUCGAGAACCAUCAUUGUUUUCACUAGUGGAGCGCGCGCGCACACACACA